rnacentral:rRNA from 1 species
GCAUAUCAAUAAGCGGAGGAAAAAGAAACCAACAGGGAUUGCCUCAGUAACGGCGAGUGAAGCGGCAACAGCUCAAAUUUGAAAUCUGGCCUCUUUGGGGUCCGAGUUGUAAUUUGUAGAGGAUGUUUCGGGUACCGCUCCGGUUUAAAUUUCUUGGAACAGAAUGUCAGAGAGGGUGAGAAUCCCGUCUUGGACCGGUGGUAGGACCUAUGUGAAACUCCUUCGACGAGUCGAGUUGUUUGGGAAUGCAGCUCAAAAUGGGUGGUAAAUUUCAUCUAAAGCUAAAUAUUGGCCAGAGACCGAUAGCGCACAAGUAGAGUGAUCGAAAGAUGAAAAGCACUUUGAAAAGAGAGUUAAACAGUAUGUGAAAUUGUUGAAAGGGAAGCGCUUGCAACCAGACUUGAGCGCGACGGUUCCCCCUUCCUUUUGGUUGGGUUACUCCGUCGUGUCCAGGCCAACAUCGGUUUUGGGGGUUGGUUAAAGGCGCCUUGAAUGUAUCUACCCUUCGGGCGUAGACUUAUAGCUCGGCGUGUCAUGCGACCUCCCGGGACCGAGGAACGCGCUUCGGCUCGGAUGUUGGCGUAAUGGUUGUCAGCGACCCGUCUUGAAACACGGACCAAGGAGUCUAACAUCUAUGCGAGUGUUUGGGUGUCAAACCCGGAACGCGAAAUGAAAGUGAACGGAGGUAGGAAGCCUUGGGCUGCACUAUCGACCGAUCCUGAUGUCUUCGGAUGGAUUUGAGUAAGAGCAUAGCUGUUGGGACCCGAAAGAUGGUGAACUAUGCCUGAAUAGGGUGAAGCCAGAGGAAACUCUGGUGGAGGCUCGCAGCGGUUUCUGACGUGCAAAUCGAUCGUCAAAUUUGGGUAUAGGGGCGAAAGACUAAUCGAACCAUCUGGUAGCUGGUUCCUGCCGAAG